UCCAGGCUGGCUCAGUUGGUGGAGCAGUCGACUUUUGAUCUGAGGGUCAUGGGUUCGAGCCCCAUGUUGGGCA
rnacentral:tRNA from 1 species